CAGACACCAGAGGGGUAAUCAGACCCCACGAACUUAAGGCAAAGCGACAGCGCCAAUAUUAAUCACUGGUGUCAAUCCUCCCUUUGGAGCGCGAUCCCCAUCCAAUAAGAAGGGUGAAAACACCGUGUGCUAAUAAGUACCACAUACCAGUCACCAGUGUGUAAGAGGCCAUGGAUGUAUGGAGGAAAUAAGGAGUUAACGGGUCCAUCCAUGGCGACUAUGAUACCAGAAUGUUUGCGGGGGAGAUUGACAGUUUAUUUUGAGUUGUGAAUUAAUGGCUGGACGCCGCGGUAUCAAGGGAAUGGUAUACAUAGUGUUUUGGUUGUAGCGGCC
rnacentral:sRNA from 1 species